UCAAAUACAAUAUAACAAUUUGGUUCGAGUCGAUUUUGACCAAAAUCACGAAAGAAACUAAACCGAACCGAACCAAACCAUUUGAUUUGGUUUAGUUUGGUCGGUUUCAGCCUAUACGCAAUCUUUUUCCUUGUACAUUUUUUCAACAUUCUUAGCCCAAUUAGUACCCCAAAAAAAUUCGCAACAUGCUACCUAUUUCUUUUUCAUUUUCUAGCGUGUCAAACAUCCUAAAUUGAACAUGUCAUAAAACUUCAAAGUUCAAUAACUAAUAUAGCUACAAUUCAAUAACUAAUCAACGUGAAACCCUAGCCCUCUCCUGAAAAAAAAAAAAAAAAAAAAAAAAAAAAAAAAAAAAAAAAAAAAAAAACCUCUCUAGCCGCACUAACCUUGAGGGGGGAAGAGGUCACUGUUCCUCCUCCUCAUCCCAUCUCCUCUCUGCUUUGACACACAAAUCCCCUUCCCCUACUUUUCCCUCUCAUCUCCUUCCCAACCUUGUCCCCUCACCUCACUUCCUUCUUACUCUCUCUCUCUCUCUCUCUCUCUCUCUCUCUCUCUCUCUACAUGGUUGCCUUUGUUAGUUUUGUUUGGUUGUUUUGCAGAUCUCGGGUUCCAGCUCUUGAUUUACUUUGUGUGUUUUAGUUUUUAUCUGUAAUAAGUGCUUCAACUCUUUUUGAGUUUGUUGCGUGUUCAUAGUAUCUACUUGUAAUUUUUUACUUGUAAGAGUUUAAAGAUUAUAGUUUGCUGUUGUAGUUUUGUGCAUUGUGGUCUAUGCCUGACUUUUGCAGGCUUGCGACUUUUAUGUCGGAAUUUCUUUGGCCCUCUAUCGCUCUUUGUGGAGGUACACUUGUGCGCAUGAUGUUUCCGGUGGAGUCCUCUGUAUUUAAAUUAACCCCUUGUGGUUAUUGAGCUUCCGUAUUUAUAAUAACCUUAAGUGGUUAUUUGUAUUUGUACUGGCUCUUAUGGUUGGCCUUUGUGCCUUAAUUAUAGAUGCAAUCUAUCGUUUUUAUUUGAAAAAUAUCAAUAACUUCAAGGUUCCAACAAACUUCAAAUUCAACAUCCAUAUGUAAAUAUUAUCCAAUUAGAUGACUUCACAUGUAUAAUAAAAUAAAUAUAUAUAUACACACACACACACACACAAGUAGGCAAUCGAGUUCAGUUUAGGCCGGUUUGCAGCAAAAGUUCAAAACCAAAUUAUUUAUAGUCCGAUUUAUUUUUUAAACCGUUAAAUUUUUUCUUGAUUAAAACCAAACCAAACCGAUAAUUAUAAUUUAAAUAAAACGGUUUAAUCGAUUUGACCGGAUUGAUUCCCACCACUAUCAUAAAUAUAAGAUAAAAAUAUACUUAAUUACACGUAACCCCAUCCUUCAUUAUUGUGCAGCAUAUCAUUAUCCCACGUUUGAGAAAAAUCAGCCCCGAUUGCCAGAAAUAUCAAAGGCAUCUAGAUCCUAGAGGAUGAUAUUUAAAGUUUAAACAAAUAUUCUACAAUACAUGUAGAAGAAAUACCCACUUGAGCUAGUAACACAACAGCAUAAGCUCUUUUCCGUUGGAUAUCUUACAUUCUAGAUCACUUAUCCCACCAUUCCAAAAUUCUUCGUUAUUGUUCACUAGAAACAUUGACUUCCCUAGUUUGCUGGAUUUUCUCUCUCUUUUCAUUCUUCCUAACACGAUUUUCUUCUCCCUUCAUAAAACUAUAUGUACGCUGUCUCACCCUCUAUGAUCACAUCAACAUCAUAUUGCCAACUUUCUUUAUCAACAUAAUGUUUCCAAGUUGAUCAAAUAAUAGGACUAAAUUGUUCGGGUUGAAUGGUUUGAUCAGAUUGACCCAAAAUUGUACCCACCCCCACCUUCCACUCCAGAUCUAGAUUUUUUCUAUUUCUUAUUCUUCUACUCAUCUAAGCCCCUUCUUCUAGCUCCAUGCACUCACCCAUAACCUACCUAGCUGCCAUUUACCAUGCAUUGCUGUGCUAUUUAAGACUCUACCUUUCUUCAUCUGAAGAGGUCGAGAGUAAAUGAACAACACAUUUUGAAAAUCUAGCAAAAAGUACAAAAAUGCAAAUUCACCAAUAACCAGUUUUCUCCCAACCAUGUUUAUUAGCUUUUGUCCCUUCAUUUCAAAACCACAACACAACAGAGUCAUGCAUGUCAAUAGGUCAAAACAAGACAGCUUUUAAUAACUUGGCACACCAAAGAAUUUGGUUAGUUUACUUUUCUAACUAUAGCAUGAUGAAAUUCUUACAUACAACUGGUGUAUACUAACUAUUCAAAGUAUUAUCGUUAUAUUUAAAUUCAUAAGUCUCUGAUAUUAUCUAAUUAAUUUAAAAAAUCUCGAACUUAAUAAAGUCAUACAAAUAUUAAUUUAAAAGAUCUCGAAGAUCUCAAACUUUAUAGAAUCAUACAAAUGUUCCUCUCGCGAUAAUUAAUCAUGUGACAAUUACAUAAAAGGAUGAAUGGAAGAGAGGUGUUGCAUGCGCACCUCACCUCAUAUGCAAGAAUUUUUCCGAGUAGAGUAAUCAAGAAAUUAAUGAGAAAUGAACACGUUGCGUUGCCACCUUGAUUGUGUGAGUUGGUGAAUUACUUGAAACAUCUCUGUCCACCAUCUCCCUGUCUCAUCACAGCAUAAGUACAUUUCAAUAACAUGUAUUUGACAACUAACUAUAAGCCUCUAUUGACUUUCCCACAAGUUCAAAAAUCUCAUGUCAUAAAUAUCUCUGACUUUCAAUGCGUUCAAAACUAUGCGAAAAUGUUGACUUUGAAUAAGUAAGCAGUGGACAUGUGUCCGUCGUGUCGCUUUUGAUGUCGUGGAUGAUGGAACUGGGAAAAUGAUAAGUCCAUUUUUGUGGAUAUGAUUGUAGUCUAGUUUCCUAAUUACGUCUGAAUGUUUGUUGUUCCAAAAUUGAAAAUACAUGCAUGGUGGAAAAUUCUAGCUAGGAAAGGGAACCCUCUUGGUUUUCGUUUCCCACUCUUCAAAUUCUUGGUUCAGUUGAUGACUUUACUUGAUGAAUAUUUGCUUUUGCUCCAUGUCCUUCUCUCUAGAGCGCUGAAGUAGAAAAAAAAUGGAUACAAGACCGCGAUAUGUUCAACUUUGGAAGGCUAGGUUUUUGGUGAGUUUGAAUUUAGGGGAAGAGAUUAAGAAAAGAAGACAGAGAUUUUGGAGUGAGGAAGUGGGAAUUGUGGAAAUGAGCUUUCAUUGAAUAUAGGCGAUUCCGAAUCCGACAAAUAGGAUGGAGACAAGAAGAGAACGAAACCUCCUAAAUCUACUUCAGAAAAAUUAAAUGAAUAGAGUCACCAAUGAGGCACUACUGCUAUGCGAUGACGUAUUUAGAUUAAAGGAAUGCAAAUAUGAGAUCAUUGAGUUUGUAUCAAAAUACAAAUUUUCAUUAAGUUUAUUUUAAAAUACAAAUAUUUGAUAUUGCGUAGUCAUUUAUCCAAUGUGAGAUAAUUCAGGAGAUAGUUUAUACAAUACCUAAGAAGAUGAUCAUAGGAAGAGCCACCUUGAAGUACAUAAUAAAAUGGAUCGAAACUCAUCCAAACUUAGCUUUAGACAAUCAACCAAGCGACAGUGAGGUACUGGCAGACAAUUUUUGUUUUGCUACCAACAUCUUUAAAGUAACUUAUUUUAUUUGUAACGUUCUAAUUUUAUCGGAUAUUUAAAAAUGCUUCCAUUUUUAUUUUUUAUAAAAAAAAUUCAAAAUAAUGAUCCUAAAGGACAGGGGAAAAACAAAGGUGACCUACUCUCAAUCAUGAUUGAUGCCAACUAUUGAUUUAUAGUUGUUUAGUAUUUUUAGUUGGGCGAAUGGUGAAUGCAUGUACAGAAAACAUAAACUGGUUUUCCUUUGGCAUACUCAUUUUUAAAUGUUUGAGAGGAAUAUUGCAUGAACUUGGCCUCUUUUUCUGAGCUCAAAGUCAGUUAUGGGCACAUACUAGAUUAAAAAACCAAUCCGCAUUCAAAAGUUGUUCUGAUAGCAAACUUGAAAGAGGGUAAGGCAAUACCUAGUUAAAGUCCAAAAAAUAAUACAGUUGACAUUGCCUAGUACCCUACCCAAUGAUCAAGAAUGUCUUUCCAGGCCAUAGAGGAUUUGUUUUUUUUCCUUUUUUUCUUUUUUGAGUAAGAAAAGAAAGUAGAGCUUCUAAAAUAUUUAGUUCUCUGCAAGGGACUCAAGCAAUUAAGAUCAGUUACCCUUGCAAUUAAGGUCUUGGGUUCAGCCUCUAGGGUUCUAAUAGGUAUAGGAUAUAGGUUUUUUUGUUCUUUCCCUUGUUUCUUUUUGUACUUUUGGUUACUAAGGAGGUAGGAAGGGAAAGGGAGCCUGGUGUUAUAUAUGCUCUCCACCAUUUAAACUAAACCCCCAUUAAGCAUUAGAAUUUAAUCAAAUAGUUUCCAAAUGACCCCUUUUUCCUUUUUUCUUCCUCGUUCAUUUUAUAUAUUUUGCUCUAUUUGUGCACAUUGCUUAGAGAUGCACAAGGCUUGGGCUUGGAUAAGGUUUUGAGAAUGCUUGCAGACAGCCCAAAAGGCAUAUUUGCUUUAGGACCAGGCAGGCAAGAUCGAGUAAAAUUGUACACCAGUAUUAACUCUAAAACAAAAACGAAAAAACAUUGUAAGAUGGUAUGUCAUUCACCCAAAUCUCAAAGCCAUCUUAUUUUAGUUGAACAUAGCUUGUUUAGUUGUUAUUUUUGGAUGUGGUAACAAUUUAUUUCUUAUAAUCAAAGGGCCGUAUGCUGUGGUAAAUGUUGUUCUGUCUUUUUUUCAUUUUUUUUAAUACAGACAAUAGUCUAAACUACAGAAAUAGGAAUUUCACACACACAUACACACAACCUCUGAUAUGUAAGUCAAAACCCUUUUUUAUUGGGCUAGACCCCGUUGGCAACGUUGUUCUAUCUUAAUUUGGUUGCUUGUGGGCACAUUUCAACGUUGCCAACUUUCACUUGAUCUGUUUGUGGGGUGUUCGGUGUUUGCAUCUUUCUUUCUACUUUGUAAUUUCUUUCCAUUGAAGAACAUGCUCUGAGCAAAUAUGCCUGUGUUCCAGUCAGUUCAAGGAAUGAAAGUUGUGUGUCAUGAGCUGGUACAGUCGACCGAUGAUCCGCAACGCAGUGCUAGAGAUGAGUUAGUGAGGGAUGCAGAUAGACUUGUUUCUCGCUUAGCAGAUAAGGUAGCCAAGACUUUUGAGUUCAGUUUGACAGGAGCUUCAUCUAGGUCUUGUAAAUACGUCCUGAAACACUCUUAUGCAGAAAUUUCAAAAUAAUUACUAACACUAACAUAAAAUCAAUAGGGCAUAUUUAACAGCAAUUCAUUUUGCAGAAAAAGAACAGAAAAUAUUGAUCCAAUUUCAAAAACCUUGAGAGCUACAAUAGCCUCUAUACACAUACUUGAGACCUAUAUUACAAGUUAGCACCUGAGGAUUCUGAUUACGCGACGAGUAAAACCCAAAUGAAGAUUCAAUCCUCAAGCCAAAAACACAUGGAAUCAAUAGGCUUAAACCACCAGAGGAAUUUACCUCAAUAUACUAACCGCUGUCAUGGAUCAUGGAUUAUCUGUUGUACAUUCCAUACCUUACACUCACACUCCUCAACUGCAAAAGAUUUUAUACCAUUUAAACAGCUGCAAGAUUGUUAUGGACAUAGUAAAACGCCUGACACAUCUAGCCUUUCUUUCUUUAAAAGUUCUACACAUCUAACCUUCACUGUAGACCUGGAUAAUUGGUCAUAGUUAUGGACAUAAUAAAAUGCCUCACUACAUGGAAAUGCAUUGCUAAUUUGUUAUCAAAAUCAAAAAAUUUAAUAACUCAUAUUCAUAUUUACCUUUACAAUGCUCUUGUAUCAUUCACACUUUGUAGUAACAUUGUACUGCUUGAGUGCUUCUGAAGUUUCUAAGAUUUUCUUACAGAAAGCAGGACUUUUUAUCUAAGAUUUUCUAAGAUAUCUUUGGUACAAAUUGUGUACAAAUCGUUGAAAUUAAAUUAUUUUUUUUUAAACACUUCUAAUAUAAUAUAUUAUGCAACCUGGAGUUAGUGAACAUAUGCAUCAAAAUGUUCUUAAAUCAACCGCCUCGUUUUAGCCUCUUUAUUCUCUCAAGGGCGCCAAGGUGGGUGUCACCAUCCUUGGUCGCAGCAGCAACAUCUCCACCCUCAUCUUUUUCAGCCUCCUUUCUCUUGUUAGCCAACUCUCCAAAAACAGCAGAUGGGACCUCCUUUAGUGCAAUUUCAACCAUUUCAUCAUCUUCUGAAUCACUUUCUUCCAGUAGCUUAAUUUCUUCAUGAAUUGCAGUAACUUUGAUCUCUUUGUCCAUCUGUGAUUCUACUCCAGCACUCACAAAGCCCACUUUUCUGUUACUAUCUUUGGUGGUAGUGUCUUUAGCCACAGGUGCCAACUGCCUCUCUAAAGCAGCCAUUUCAUCUUCAGGGACUCCAGCCUGUUUCAACUUGUGUUUUGCCUCAUCAAUGUUCAACCUCUGAUCCUUUUGCAUCAUAUACUCGGGUAGAAUAAAGUGUGUCUGGCUAUAGCUUGCAGAAACACUUCGCUUAAUUUGAAGCAUCUCUCGGAAGGUAUCUUCAUUUCCAUGUUGCACCUCAAACUCAUGCCAUUUGUUCCAGAAAUCUACAUCAGAUCGUGGAUCCGAAAACUGUGAUGCAAAUAUAUAUACUCCCCGAGCACGAUCAAUUUCUCCCAAGCUCUUCUCAAGCUCAGUAUACUUCAAACACAUUGUCUUCACAUCUUUGUCUGGAAGACCGGAUUUUAUUGCUUGCUCAUAUAUUUCCCUUGUUUUGGGGAUGCCAAAUAUUUCUGCAGCACGGGCAAUGUACAUUUCAUACAUGCUCAAUUUAUCAUGGUUUGGAACAGCCUUAGUUGCUUCAUCAUAGAUCUUCAUAGCGCGCUUUGCUAGACCAUAAUCCUCCUCCAGAUUUGCAAAUUGAAGAUACAAAGGUUUCUUUGCAUCAGCAGGCGCUGCUUGAACAGCAUCCUCAAAUAGCUGUCUUGCACGUUCCAGUUCUUUCUUCCCAUAUCUCUUUACAAAUUUAGAGAGAUAUGUAACCCAUAUGUCUUUGACAUGUGGGUACUUAAAUAUUUUGGUACCUUUUUCAUACACCUUGAACGCAUCUUCAAAGUAUUUAUGCUUCUCCAGAAGCAAUGCAUAAUUGAUUAUGAUUUGUGGUGUGGCUAUCUUCAAAUCCAUUAUCCUCUCAUAAACAGCCCGGGUGGACUCCAAUUUACCAAGGCUCUCCUCUAAAUCCACGUAAAAAGUCCACAUUCUCAAGGACUUUUGCAGCUUCAUCUGAACCGGUUGGUUACCAUCAGCCGCCACUCUGCGUUUCACCUCAACGGAUGGCUCUGCGGUGGCCAGCCUCAUUAGUUCCAGUGCUCCUUUGAAAUUCUUAUGCCUCAAUUCCAUUUCUGCCCACUCACACCAAAGACUAGCCAAAUAAUCCACUGUCUUGUAGUUCACCUGAACUGCUUUAUCAAAAAUCACUCUUGCAUUUGCAAUAUCUUUGUGAUUCUCGUACAACUUAGCAAACGCAACCCACAACGUAUGAGGCUUUCCCACUGCUUUCAUUGGAUCAACCGUCCUCACAGCCUCUGUGUAAGUAAGUAUCUGCUUUGUGGGAUUACCCUCAAAGAGCUUCACUCUUUGGUGCCACUGCUCUACAUUAUGGGGAUUUUGUCGUAAAAGAACACUAUUAGCCAGUAUAGGACUUCUAUCCAUAAGAUGCUCCAAUCGAGCCAACCUCAAAUCUACGUCCUUAUCAUCAUGUAACCAAAACCCAUUAAGCAUUUCCUUCUCAAGCUCAGCCACAGACAAGUUAACAUCCAAUCGAAGAUCAACUUCCUCCUCAUUUCCAUCCUCUUCUACCCCAUUUUCUUCUUCCUCCUCUUCAUCACUCAAAUCCGCAGUCUCCAUCUUAUGGAUAAGCAUGCUAUCUUCAAACCCAACAUACGAAUCGAAAAUUACACUAAAAUCUCUUACCGUUACCACAGUAGUCAUACCCUCCUCAAAUAUAUCCCUAGCUUUCUCGUGCAAAUUCCUCCUAAUGUAAUAGUCAGCAAGUGAGGUCCACAACCGUCCCACCUCGUCUGUAAAUUUCCUAAUCCCACCUCUAAUAAUAGCAUCUACAUUGAGGCCUGACACCUCCUUAGCGUGCUUAGCAAGCAAAUCACACAAUUCCAACCACAGCCUAUGUUUCGUUUUCCCCUUUAUCGAAUAGAACUGGUCAUCAUUCAACACUGAAGCCAGCCUCUCGGCAGCCUCUUGCCAAAGACUAGAAUUUAUCAAGAACUCAAUGAAUUUUUCAAUAUGGGUAGGGUCAUAUUUCAAAUACCUGCGAUAAAGCCGAAGCGAGGUCUCAAUUGGAAUACCCUUUCGGCUCACGAACUCCAGGUACGGGUCCCAAAUGCCGUCGUGCUGCGUCACUGGAAGAGCACACAGCGCUCUGUCGAAGGUCCGGCGAGUCCGAGUGAACAACUUCUGCUCCGUCAAAGUUUGCAAGUACCGAAUCCAAAUUUUGGGCAUUUUGUGCAUAGUAACCAGGGCUCUUUCAAAAGUGUUGUUGAGGGUUUCAUACUGGAAGUGAGUGAUGGGUAAAUUGCGAACGAGCUCGAGGCGUUCGUGAAGGUAAGCGGACCAAAGCUUGUAGCUCCCAGGAAGGGCCUUGAGUGCUCGCUCGUAGAUUAUAAAACGCUUCUUGAAUGGAGAUUCGGAUCGAGCGAUUAGGUAACGCCACCAUACCUUCAGGCUAAAGGGGUUUCGGAGAAGCUCUUCUUCGUAAAGAAGGUCGUCUUGGGAUGGGUAAAGCUCUUGAGAGAUCGACAUAUGAAGUUGAAUAAUCGGGAAUUUUCUAUGUAUUCGGAGGCCAUAUAUAUAAUACACUCCUCCUAAGCCAAGUCAAAAUAUAAUUCCUAAUUCUAAUUAGGGUAGGAAAUUAAAAGUAGAUAGAUAAAUUACAGUCAAUUUGGGAAAGUAAGGUCAACUCAAAGCUAAACUCUCUUUUCAAGUUGGUGCAUAGAUGUCUCUAAUGCUCAACUUGUCUAUAAGGCUCGUACUAAUUGGAAAAUAUGUGUUGCACUUGCAAGUAAUUAAGAGGUCCAGAAUAAGCAAGUUAGGAUGUGAAUUUAUUUAUUCAAAUAAGUGGUAUUUUUAGUCAAUUUGAAAUACUUAUAUAUGUAAUUUUAAAAAAUAAAUUUGAACUAAUGUGAAACUUGUACAUUAACCCAGACAUGAGCAUAGCUCUUGAGGCUGCAUUUGUUUUCUCUACUAAUUUGAAAGAUAUGAUUUCAACUAUAUAGAGCCUAAUUUUCACCAUAGGGUAUCAAAUGGACAAAUCUCAUCCAGGCAAUCAACUAGGUACUAGCAGACAAGUUUUGUUUUUGCUACCAGCAUCUUCAAUGUAAAUUAUUUGUUUUGUAUCGUUCUAAUUUUAUCGGAUGCUUUUAAUUUUUAUUUUUUUUAAGAAAUUUAAAAUAUAAUGAUCCUAAAGGACAGGGAAAAAAGUAAGGUGACCUAAUCUUAAUCAUGAUUGAUGUCAACUAUUGGUUUAUUCUGUUUAGUCUUUUUGGUUGGGAGAAUGGUGAAUUCAUGCACAUAAAACAUAAACUAGUUUUCCUUCGGCAUGGUCAUUUUCAAAUGGAGGAAUGUUGCAUGAACCGGGCCUCUUUUUCUGAGCUCAAAGUCUAUGGGUAAAUAGUAGAUUUAAAAACCAAUCCACAUUCAAAAGUGCAGAGUAAAAAUUAGAGUUGCCAUUGCCUAUCUACUAAUAGGUAGAAAGGAUAUUAGGUUUAUUUAUUUAUUUUUCUUUUGGUAACUAAUGAGGUAGGAAGGGAAAGGGAGCCUGGUGGUAUAUAAUAUAUAUGCUCUCUACCAUUUAAAAUCUCCAGAAAAUAUUAGAAUUUAAUUCAAUAGUUUCUAAUUACCUUUUUUUUUUCCCCCUUUUUUCCUUGUUCAUUUUUUCAUAUUUUGCUCUAUUUAUGAACAUUGCUUAGAGAUGCAGAAGGCUUUGGUUUGAUUAAGGUUCCCAGAAUGCUUGCAGGCAUCCCAAAAGGCAUGUUUUCUUUAGGACCAGGUAUGAUCGAUUACAAUUGAUCACAACUAGUAUAACUAUAUAAAAAAAACAGUCAGAUGGUAUGUCAAUCACCCAAAUCUUAAAGCCAUCUUGUGGAAAUAGUUACUAUAACAAUACCAUAAAAAACAGUAGGGCAUAUUUAACAGCAAUUCAUUUUGCAGAAAAAGCACAGAAAACAUUGAUCCAAUUUCAAAAACUUUGAGAGCUACAAUCGCUUCUAUACACACACUUGAGACCUACAUUACAAGUAGCACCUGAGGAUUCUGAUUACGCGACGAGUACAAGCCAAAUGAAGAUUCAAUCCUCAAGCCAAAAACACAUGGAAUCAAUAGGCUUAAUCCACCGGAGGAAUUUACCUCAAUACACUACAUGGAUCAUGGAUUAUGGAGGCUGUUGCUGUUGUACAUUCCAUACAUUACACUCCCACUUCUCAACUGCAAAAUAUUUUAUACCAUUCAAACAGCUGCAAGAUUGUUAUUGGGGGUGGAGGUUGGCAAAAAGAGAUGAUGAAGAAAUAAAGUGUACCCGCUCAACAGCAUUUGCCAUGCCCGACACAUCUAGCCUUUCUUUCUUUAAAAGCUCUACACGAUCCCGAAGACACUGAUUCUGUUCUUCAGCCUACAUUUGGGGAGGAAAAAAAUUAAAAAAAAUUAAAAAAUUAAAAAAGAAAAAGAAGAAGCAAACACUCGUAUUACGUUACAAUUAAAUAAACGUUCCUUUUAAAAUGUGAGAGAAUAAAUUCAAUGAGAUAAUGCAUGCUUUGGAAGUGAAGGAAUUUGUCUGGAGAGGAUUUCACAUCAACAAUAAACCAGAUGUGUGUGCGCAGUUGUGAGAGAGAGAGAUGUUCAAAUUUGAUUAACCAUCAACCCCAUAAAAAGUUUCUGGACAGCCAAACGAGUAGAAACUAGGAAAAGUUACCAUACUACAAGCUAAGGGGAAAACAUCAGUGAAUCAAUGCUCUUCAAUUAAAAACCCAUGCACUAAUUGACAGACCUUUAAGGAUGGUCUAACUGCAGAAGUUAACAGUGUCAGAAAGUUAGGGGAAAUACAACACAGGUAUCAAUGUAACAGCAUCUUUGACCUAAGUGGCCAAGUACUACAUCAUCUGAGGAUAUGUAUGCAUACACUCGUGUAAACAAUUUCACAUCUUAGACUAAUAUCAUUGAAACAAUAAAGCUUAAAAGGGUCGACCUUGUAUUGGCUGGCUCCUUUUUAAUUUCAGACCGCCCACAGCUUUGAGUACCCAGUACAUAUUGUUUAUCAACUUACCAGAACACUUUUUCCCAGUAAGAAUUUCUUCCAUGCGUAUCCCAGCUACAUACUUGUUUUAUGCACAAAUGAUAGGGUGAAAACCCUUGACUAGUAAAAGUGCUUGGUAACUGUUCCACAGGGCAUAUCCUAUUACCUGGGAUUUAAUCUCGCCUUUAUAGGAUUUGGGGUUUUACUCAGUGUCGGCUGAUAUGCCCAGUGGAACUCCAAUUGAUCUCAAUGAACCAGACAGAUGUGAGACCCUAGCACUCUUGAAUUCUAGAACACAAUAUAUAUACUCAGUGUGUGUAUAAAUGUUGGACAAUUCCCUGUGUCGACUGAUAUGCCCAGUGGAACUCCAAUUGAUCUCAAUGAACCAGACAGAUGUGAGACCCUAGUACUCUUGAAUUCUAGAACACAAUAUAUAUACUCAGUGUGUGUAUAAAUGUUGGACAAUUCCCUAAAAACUAGAUGAUAUCAUCUCUACCAAGCAGCUUUUAAUUGGAGUUUAAGUUUGAAUAUAUCUACCGUUUCCAGCAUCUUUGUCAAGUACUGGAUUUGAUCCUUCUUCAUUGUGGACAGAUCAUGAGCAACAUCCAUUACAUUAGUCCUGCAUGAAUACACAUGUUUAAACAAUGAAGUUUACACUAAUAGGCACUGUAAGAGAUAAUAUGAAAUGUAACUAUAUAGAUUAAGAUGGAUACUAUCAAGAUAAGGCUCCCUUCCACCAUAGUACCAAAACAAAAGUGGAUAAGACCACCUCUUGGACGGUUUUCAGGCACUGUUAGAGUAGUGGGGGCAAUUGGGGAGGUGGGGGGAUGUAUGUACAGAACCUCUACAACUUCAACAAUGGAAGUAAACACAAGGGCCUUUAUUAUACACUCUUGUAAGCUUCAUUAGUUACCAAAGCAAAUGAACACUAGCCUAAACAAAAGGGCCUUUAUUAUACACUCUUGUCUUCCCCCUUGCAUUCAUAUGUUCUGCAUGAACAUAUGUAUCUUGUACUUACCAUUCUAUUGAAACAUGAUGGCAUGUGUUGCAUUACAUUUAGGAUGAGUUAUGAAUCUUGGCAAUUUUAACAGUCAACCAACACUCAGUUUCUUUUUCUUUUAUAUUUUUUUUUUUUGGUCCAAGGAAAGGAGUUACUAAAAGGCCAUAUAUUCAUUUUGUCAAGAAAUCAAGAAAAUACUUACUUAUCUGAAAACAAACGAUCCAGAGCUUGUUCUUCCACAAGUUGUUCAACAGUAUCAAGAGCAGUUCCCACCUGCAAGCAGAGAGAGACUAUACAUAACAAGAAAAUAUAUUGGAUGCAAAGAAUAAAUAAAACGAUGAUGUAUAAUAUAUAAUGUAUAUUAGAAGUUAGAACCAAGAGGAUCUUGAACUAAUAGUUAGGUAAAAAAGAAAAAAAAAACAUCGGAGCAGGGUUAGUUUGCUUAUUAAUUCUAUUUGUAAACUGUAUACAAGCAUGCAAGGCACAUCAUACAGCCAUAAAUGCUAUCGUUUUCACUCAGCAGUAAUCAUCUGAAGAUUCCAUCUGUUAGACAUGUGAUUCCUUUAGGAUUGUAAUAAUGUCUAAAUCAGUAAGAACCAGAGGUACUUCUUGUUGCCUGCAUAAAACAUGAAUGAGUUGGGUCUUAGGAAUCAUCAUUAGCCACCACUAGUUCCCUCUCGUCAUGGAACCUCUAAUUGAAUCAACUAUUACUCCAUUUUCGGAAAUUACUUAAAAACAUAAAUGAUCGAAAAAAUGUCAUCAUUUCACUGGACAUGGGUAUGAGCCUAUUUAUACACGAGGCUUCAAAUUACACAACACAAGGGCCCAGCAUAUGCAUGUUGACACAAAUUACUAAAUGUUUCUUUGAAAACUAAUAAAAUUCUAAAACUUAUCCCAUGUUUUUCCUAAUCAUGGUAAAUCCUACUUCUAUCCUUUCAGUCCUUGGUAUUCCUCUUUUUACUAAAAUUUUCAUCUGCAGUGCCUUCUGGUAUCAGAAUUUGCCCGAAUUUUAAUGACUUGCUCUAAAACCAGUUCAUCAUCUUUUUCCUUUUUUUUAAUCCAUAAUAGUUUUGUAUAAAUAUAUCAAGAAUAUCACGGGUCAGCUAGGUGUCUAAGCAUGUCUUAAUGUAUUCAUUUCCAAAAUAGGUCUAACUAAACGACCGUCUAAUGCAUAACCAUAUUUUCUUUGCUAAAAUCGCAUUAAUUGGUGGCAGUCAGUCAGCCAGUGGAAUGAACAUUUCUUGUUAAGUAACUCUACAAUAAAGCUGCAAUUACAUUAACACAAACUCCAUGUAAAAGAAAUUCAUUACUAAGGUAUAAAUUAAGACUCAAAUAAAACAACUAUCAGACCCAACUAGAACUCUUUUAUGACAACCAGAAGGCUAUUUACACGAGAAAAUAUGCAUCGUGCAUUAAAGUGACCUCCCUCACUUAAAACUCACUCUCUCUAAUUUCAGAAAUAACUUGUAAGCUAAUUACACAGAAGAAUCUACAUAAGUUGUUAAAUGGAAUAACUGUGCAUUAAUGGCAUCACAAAAUAUUGAUUUGUAUACCUGUGUUUCAAGGCAUACUGACUGAAACUCAUCCUGUAAAAUUAAAAAGGACAAAUUCUUCAGAAUUCAGCUGAAAGCAUUAUAAAAUACAUUAUCACAUAUAAAUACACAAAUAAAUACUCCUGAUGAGACCCCCAAAUGCACACCACCAUUCAACAUAUCAUUAAAUCCUUUGAUAAGAACAUUUAAGAAAUCAAGAGAAGAAAUGCAUUGUUAAUAUUGGCAAAUGGUAUGAAAUGAAUUACCUCUACAUUUCCAUGCAAAGAAGUGAUGACCUGAAAAUUUGUAUACGAUAUCAAUGAAAUGAGCAUUUGUUCUGAAUUUGAACUCAAAAAAGAGACCCUCUAUCCAAAUCUCUGCUUACAAAGUGCAGAGAAAUAAACAAAAUGUCUACAUCGAUUAUUAAAUGACAUUAUCUGUACCUGAAUAAACAUCCUAUGAAGACGCUCUUGCUCGGCAGUUGUAAAAUUCGGAAAUGCUUGGCAAAAUUCCUUUUGUGUUCAUCAUAAAAAAAAGUUAGUCAAUUGAAUCUGGAGGAAGAAAUGCAUAAAUUCGAAAGAAUAAAAUAAAAUUUCCAGACACAAUGAAAUGGGUAUCUUUUGACUUUGAAAUGGCAAUUGAGCAAACCAAUUUCUAAAGAAGAUGAAAUUGUAAGUAAAGAAACCUGCUUAGAACAGGGAGUGAGCAGGGAACGAAUGCAGAACUUGAAGGAUUUCUUCAUCUCCAUAUGCCUCGUCCCCAUCGCAGACACAAAAGAUUCUGAUUUUUUAUAGAGAUACUACAGAAAGAUUUAAGAUCCACACAAGACCAGAGUGAUUCAACACAACAUUCAAAACUAAGUAAACCGUGCAUCGUGAAAUUAGGGUUUACUAGAAUCCAGAAAUUGAAGUGAAAUCUAAAGAAAAUAAAGAGGGAAAUGUAUACCAGCAGAAAUUGAAGUGCCUACGGUAUCUUCUUCUUGUAGAUGCAGAUGUCGUGGUCCGGCUCGUGAAGACUCCCAAAGAUAGUGAGUGAAAUUUGAGAACAAACAAAAGGAAAAUAGAAAGAGAGGGAAAUUUGAAUGCUAGCUAUUUUUGUGGGUUUGAAAUGAAUAAUAAGAAAUGCUAAAAAUAUGAGGCUAAGUCAAUAAUAAGUAUUAUAUAAAGAAAUAAGUGAAUCUUGAAUUAACAAGCGCAUCUGGUGUAGUGGUAUCAUAGUACCCUCCCACGGUACUGACCAGGGUUCGAUUCCCUGGAUGCGCAUUUCACUCUUUUAGCAUUUUUCAAUUUUAUGAUUUAAGUCUCACACCUUACUCUCCGUUAUAACUCAGAAUUUAACUAAAAGUCGAGAGCGCCAAACUUAAAAACAGCACCAAAAACCUAUGAAACCCUGGACAACAAAUUCCCUUGUCGCUUUAUAAACAAAAGCGCUGCGAACCAGAGAAAUAAGGAGAAGGAGUUCUUCUUGGGUUACACAUCUCUUUGGAUCAAGUUUGAAGGUUAGUCUUCAAGCCUUUCUCUCCUUCAAUUUAUAUUUUUCUAGUUUAGGGUUACCAUGGUUUCUAAAUGGCUAUCAAAAUUGGGUAUUUCUGACUAAAUUUAUGAACGUAUUGAAUGGGUUUUGUGAUCUUUGCAGCACUAUGGCUGGGUUUUGGGAAAUCUUAACAAAACACUCUAUGCCCAUGGAUAUUGGUGUGUGAUUUGUGUUUAUGGUACAGUUCUGUAGUUGCUUUGUUAACUUUAUCACUUUGAAUUAGCUAAUAUACUUCACGAGGAGCGCAACUUAGGUCACAAAGGAGAUGGUGGAUGGAAGGCAGUUGCUUGCAAUACUGCUGAAAAUAUAUUAGCUGCACAAUUUAAUCUCCAGAUAAGUGCUAAUAAUAUUAGAAAUCGUGUUAAGUCAUGGAAAAAGUUCUAUAGAGUAGUGAGUGAUAUAUUAAGUCAAAGUGGAUUCAAUUGGGAUUCAACAAAAAAAGAUAAUAAGUGUAGAUGAAGAUCAUGUUUGGGAAGAUAUGUGAAGGUAAAUGUAUAUAUAUAUAUAUAUAUAUUAAAUUUAUCACGUGCUUUUUUGUUGUUGUUGUUGUUGUUAAAGAGUACUUUUAAGAUUCUUAUUUGACUUUGAUUAUUUGUUUGGUAGUCUCAUGACGAUGCUAGAGGUUUUCGAUUUAAAGUUAUAGAAAAUUGGGAUGAUAUAGUAGAUUUGUGUGGCAAAGAUAGAGCCACUAGAGAGGGCGCUGAAACAGAUGCAUAUGCAACUGAGGUUAUGACUCCUACUAAUGAAGUUGAUCAUAUUGAUUUAGAUGGUGAUACACAAGGUUAUGACUCCUACCAAAAGAUGUUGGUUGAAUCAUACAAAGGACAAGCUACCAAAAUUGCUAUGUAAAAAUUGUGGUGGUAUCAAAUCCCAUAUAAAGCAUGAGAAUGGCCACUUUUGAUAAUCAUUUCAAUUUUAGUUUUUUUUUUUUUUUUUGGGGUACUAGAGUAUAGAGGAAAAUGAGAGUGAGAAUGGGGGUGAGAGUGAGAUUGAGAGAUAGGAUGAGAAGGGGGGAUGAGAGAAGGCAUAACAAAAGUGAAAGCAAAAUCUUGAAAAUAAAAUAGUUUGAAAUAGAUUUCCGUUUUUAGUUUUUGUUUUCGCUGUUGUUACUCCUCCCUCUCAUCCUCUCAUCUCGUCUUCACUCUCAAUCUCAUCUCCACUCUUAUUCUCACUUCCAUUCUCCCUCUUUUUCCUCUAUACUCUAGCACAAAAAAUGAAAACUAAAAGCUAAAAUUGAAAUGGUUAUCAAACGGACCAUAAAAUUACAUCCUAAAAUUAAAAUCUUUACAUGGUAAUUGCUAAAAGGAGACUUCAUACAAAGGAAAGAUUAUCUCGAUUUUCUUGUUUAUCUUCUUCUUGUGUGUUUUUGUAUUGGAUUCAUAAUCUUCUUCUCAUUUAUUUUCCAUAUUAUUCUUUUUAUUUUAUAAUGGAUUUGGAUGGGGGAAAUAAACUUGGAAUUUGGACAAAAGUCAGAACUUCUAAAUUUGACAUACAACAAUUCCCGUGUUUGGAAUAAAAAAAACAUUGAAAGUUAGAAAUUCUACAUGAAAAAAAAAUGAAAUUUGGAGAUCAUGAAUGCCAACAUUAAAUUCUAUCUAAAAAAUUGUUAUUUCUAAAAUUCCAAGAGAGUGAAAGUUUUAAAAUAUUAAAUUUCAUGUUUAAAUCCAUUAGCCAAAUAAGAAAAUUUAUAAAUUCUAGAAUAUUAAUUUGCAUCAUUUUAAAUUCCAUCAUUUAUAAAUUCCUUAGUACUUUUCAUCAUCCAAACACACCUUUGGUAUCUUUUGAGGAAUUUUAUUGAAUGUCAUGCCCCAAUUUGGCCCCCAGGUUGUUUCACUAACUGGAUUUGGACUUCCAAAUUAAAACGUAAUAGUACUAAGCUCCAUUCACAAUGUAAUAUUAUAAUGUUUAAAUGAUACACCAUUGUUUGAGCAAAUUUCCCUACAGGGAAUAUUCGUGUGUAGAUUCUUCGCCCUUCGAGCUUCCUUUUAUUUCUUCUUCCUCGAUCCCUACAAAAAAGGUUGGAGUUAAUAGACCACACCCAUGGGGUGUUGGCCAAAGAGCCUCCGAGGCCUAGGUCAGUUAAAUGUUCUUGAGAAAGAUACUGAGAUAACAUAAAUGAUGGAGGUCUUCUCUCAUAGGGAGAGCCGGGUGGCUGGAGUCGUGAGGGAGAGAGAGAGCCAAGAGUGGCGCGAGAGAAAGAGAGCUUUGGCUAGGGUUUUAGAAUUACCUCUUGUGUGUUGUGUAGCCAUGUAUUUAUAAACUCCUUGUAGGCUAGGGUUUGAAGAAUAAUCUAUAUUUGGUUAGGAUUAUUCUUAUACAUAAAUAGGAGAUUGUUAUUAAUCAAGGAUUUUCCUAAUUAAAUAGGAUUUAAUUAAGGUAAUCAGUUGACCUAAUGAAUAUUCCUUUUGCAUGUGUCACCAAUGGCGGAUCCACCAUGGGGUCAAUGGGGUCAGACGACCCCAUGGCAGCCCUGGAAAUGGCUUGGAGGUCCUUGCUUUCUCUUGGCAGCCAUGGGAGACCACCUCAUGGAGAAGAAGAUGCAAGCUGCUAGGGAGAAGAGAGAGAGAGAGAGAGAGAGAGAGAGAGGGGUAGGAAGUAGCCGACACAAAUUUUAAUAAAAAGGAAGAUAUUUUGUUAGGGUUUUUAAAAUAUUUUUUAAUUCUAUUGGGUACACCUAUAAAUAUUAAAAGUAUACAUCAAUAACAUAAAGAUAUCAUAUACCACAACGGUUCCCUUUUUUUUGGUAAUAUUUCAAGGUAUUUUGUUAUUUGGGUUACAUAAUACAUAUAUUAGCUUGAUUUAUUGAAUGAUGUUUUUAUUAAUUGGAAUAAGUUUGGUGUGUUUUUUGUUUUUUAUUUUUGCAUUGUUUCACCUUAAAAAGAAAAUCGGAACUUUAACACUAUGACCCCAUAGAGUAACAAUCCUGGAUCCGCCACUGCGUGUCACCCAUCUGAAAUAUGUGUUCCCACAACCAUAAUAUCACAUUGUUAAAUAGAAUGUAGGUGUAGAAACCAAAAUUUCAUCAGUCAAAAUUCAAAAUUUGACUAGUCAAAGCUAGCUGGAACAGUAAUGGGUUCCACACAAAUACAUGUGGCACAUGCUCAUCAAGACGAAGAUGGACGUUGGAGAUCACACAUGCCAACAUCUAAGAGAUCCAUCAAUCAAAUUAAAUCAUAUGACAAAAAGGAAUAAAAUAAAUCAUAUUCCUAAAUCAUAAGUUAAUUUCCUCAAAUCAUGGAUUUUGACUUAAUUAAAAGUUAAAUUAAGGGAUGCAGAUUGGGGGUUCCAAAUCUCUAUGCCCAAAGCAACACCUAAACUCUCAAGUUCUUCAUCAAGCGUGUAAAGAAUCAACAAACACAUGUCCAUUCCUUCACCACCAAAGCCGAAAACUAUCCACCACGUGACACUACUCGUGGUCUUGACAUGCUUGAGAUCAAGUCGUGAUGGUCCUCCUCAAAGUCUCAAAUUCUGUUUCAUGAUCCAGUGCUUGGCACUCUUGAACUGUACACACUAGGAGAUCAAAUCAGAGAAAAUUCUUUUAUUUUGUACAAGAAUACCCAUAGAGAUUGUAACCUACACACUUGAUAAAUCAAUAUAAAUAUUUAUUUUGUACAUGUAUUCUCGUUUCAUUUGUCGCGGGAUUUUCGUGUUUACAAAUUUGGCACACCUGGUGGGACCUCUCUACCUUUCAUCUCUUUCUCUGCCUCUCUACGUCUAAGUCUAAUGAAGUUCAUGAGAAACACAAGUCAGUCAUCACCCAUGAGAAGCACAGCAAACACGUGUCAAUUCCUUCACCACCAAAGCCGAAAACUAUCCACCAUGUGACACUACUCGUGGUCUUGACAUGCUUGAGAUCAAGUUGUGAUGGUCCUCCUCGAAGUCUCAAAUUCUGUUCAUGAUCCAGUGCUUGGCACCCUUGAACCGCACACACUAGGAGAUCAAAUCAGAGGAAAUUCUUUUAUUUUGUACAAGAAUACCCAUAGAGAUUGUAACCUACACACUUGAUAAAUCAAUAUAAAUAUUUAUUUUGUUCGUGUGUUCUUGUCUCAUUUGUCGCAGGAUUUUCGUGUUUACAAGUUUGGCACACCCAGUGGGACCUCUUUGCCUCUCAUCUCUUUCUCCAGUUCCAAACUCAAUCAAUUCACUAAAGCUGAUGGCUUCAAGUCUUUCUCGCGUGUAAAGGGAAGAGCUCGAGCGCUUAUACCAUAAGCAAAGCCUAUACUAGCACCGUAAGUCGAAGAAAUACGAAGACUUACCUUCCAGGCCAGCACACUGCUUCCAUGUCUCUCCGUCUAAGUCUAAUAGAGUCCAUGAGAAACACAAGUCAGUCAUCACCCUUACCUCGUUGGGGGCAAAGAAGGACGUCUUUCAAAGAAGGAGAGGUGCUCAUCAAGACUAAAGGAUUCAAUAAAGUAGCCAUUCUCACAUGUUCCUGAUGCCGACUCAAGGAUGGACGAAUACUACUGAUCAAAUUUAAUGUACUGGAGGGAGGCUUUGAUGAUGUACUCAGACUCCUCUAGCUCUUCAUGCUCCAUGAUUGUGCAAGUCAUGAUGGUAGAGGUCACUUCCAUUGAAGAACAACUUGUUUAGAUGGCCCAAGCAAUCCAAAAGUUGGUGAAGACCGUUGAAGAGAAUAGGACGCUUAUAAAUGAUUAACAUGCCUCUCUUAGGAAACUAACAGGAACCUGGGUCUACCUAAGGACGCUUUGUGGACUGCGUCUCCCUUAAGACUCUUAUAAAUGAUUGUCAUGCCUAUUUUAGGAAACUAACAGGAACCUGGGUCUUUCUUAGGAUACUCCUGGAGCAUCUUGCUUCCCCAUAAGGACUCUUUGAGGACUUCAUCUCCUUUAGGACACUUAUAAAUGAUUGUCAUGCCUAACUUAGGAAACUGACAGGAUCAUGGGUCUCCUUUAGGAUACUUCUGGCGCAUCUUGGGUCUCCCUAAGGACUUUUGUGGACUGCAUCUCCCUUAGGACGCUUAUAAAUAGCUGCUUCUCUUUGACACAUUUUUUUGAAUAAGAAACUGAACUUGCAUUGAUGUUUAUAUGAUUACAUUGCUUUAUUUGAAAUGGAAAUAAUUGGAUAAAUAACCUGGAAUUUCCAAUAGCUGCUUUUCUUUUUUAGAAGUGGGCAGGGCUCAAUCAUCUACAAGGAAACGAACUGGCAGGCAAAAGCUUCACGAGGAAUAUCUUUGAAAGUGGCAUGCAUUCCGUUGUCUUAGAAUCUCUUUCAUGAUGUCAAGUGUAUAACUUCCUCUGCCCCGGAUUGGUUGAUCACAUAAAGGCUUUCCCAAUUAGGUUUCAUCUUCUUUGAUCCUUGUUUUUGUGCUGUAAUGAAAUUAUUUCUAACUACAAGGUUGCCAGGUUGAAACUGUCUGACCUUGGCCAUUUUGUCAUAGUAAGACUUCAACUGCUGCUGGUAAGAGGCAACUUGGACAAUGGCUUUCUCGCGUUCUCCCUCGAGUAGGUCAAGGUUGAGUUUCAUUUGUUAUAAGUUCUUACCACUAUUACCCACCUCAAUGCUUAUGGAGGGGACAAUGAUGUGCGGAGGAAUGAUUGCCUCAAUUCCAAUACACGUACGCACGUAUUUCUCAUGUUUAAUACACGUAUUUUUUACAAAAAUUUCAGUAAGACACAAAAUUCACGUAUUCUACACGUAUCACUGUACUUUUAAAAAAAAAAAGGUAUAGCCGUACGGCUGUACUCAGUUUUUCCUAAUUGGUUUUCAAAAAAUUGUAUAACCGACCGGCUUUACCUCUUUGACACGUGGGCUUAGGCCAUGUGCGGGUCUAUAUAUAUAUAUGAAUUUUUUUUAAGAACAUAUAGUCGUGUGCGGCUGUACUCAUUUUUCCUUUUUAAAAAAGAAAAAAAAAAGAAAGAAAGGCUUAACUCUUUUGACACGUGGCAAAUAAGGGCUGGGAGCGUAUUCUUUUUCAAUAAAUUUAGGUUUUAGCCACAAAAAAACUUUCAAAUCAAAGACAUGCAAAUGUAAAGGAUUCCUUAGGAAAUCCAAAAAUAAGUAAGGGCAAUUUGGUCCAUUUUGGCUUCUUUUAAAAAUUUUCUCUCUCCUUUGGCCUUUUCCAAAGUUUCCCUUUUUUUUAAAGAUAGACAUAGUAUAGCCGCACGGCUAUACUCUUUUUUAUUUUUAAAAAUUUGUUUCUUUACUUUUGUUUUUUGGCUUACUUCUUUAAUUUACCAUACGUAAUCAAGUAAUAUCUUAGCCUUUUUUAAUCACUUUGCUUAAUCAUUAUAUUUUAAUUAUUAUUUAAUAUAAAAAGAUUAAAGAAAAAGAACACAAAGUAAUUAAUUUCUAUUUAUUAAGUCUUUUGUGAAAUCGUUUGGGUGUCUUAAUUCAAUUUCUCCGUAGCCCAAGAGCCCUAUCCAUUACAAUUAUGCCAUUACUUGAGUAACUAUCGUCCCUUUUUGAUGUUUUACUUUUCCAAAGUUAUUACCCGCAUAAAGAUUUUAGCACUUUCACAUUUGAUGACGUAUUAUACACGUACGCAAGUAUUUCUCAUGUUUAAUACACGUAUUUUUUUACAAAAUUUUCAGUAAAACACAUAGAAAUCACGUAUUAUACAUGUAUUACUGAAUAAAAAUAAUAUGUACUUUAAAAAAAAGGGUACAGCAGUAUGGCUGUACUUAGUUUUCCCUAAUUAUUUUUCAAAAAAUAGUAUAGCCGCCCGACUAUACUCGUUUUUGCAUAAAAAACGUAUAGCCGCCCGGCUUUACCUCUUUGAGACGUGGGCUUAGGCCAUGGGUGCGUCUUUAUAUAUAUAUUAGUAUAGCAGCCCGGCGAAACUAUUUUUUUGAAUUUAAAAAAAGUACAGCCGUGCGGCUGUGCUCGUUUUCCCUUUUUUUUAAAUUUAGAAAAAGGCUUUACUCUUUUGACACGUGGCACCUAAGGGCUGGGAGCAUCUUUUUUUUUUUUAAGAUAUACAUAGUAUAGCCGCACGGCUAUACUCUUUUUUAUUUUUAAUAUUUUACAAUAUAAAAUUUGUUUCUUUACUUUUGUUUUUUGGCCUACUUCUUUAAUUUAUCAUACGUAAUCAAGUAAUAUCUUAGCUUUUUUAAAUCACUUUGCUUAGUAAUUAGAUUUUCAUUAUUAUUUAAUACAAGAAGAUUGAAGAAAAAGAACACAAAUUAAUUAAUUUCUAUUUAUUAAGUCUUUUGUGAAAUCGUUUGGGUGUCUUAAUUCAAUUUCUCCAUAGCCCAAGAGCCCUAUCCAUUACAGUUAUGCCAUUACUCGAGUAUCUAUCGUCCCUUUUUGAUGUUUUGCUUUUCCAAAGUUAUUACCCGUAUAAAAAUUUUAGCACUUUCACGUUUAAUAAUGUAUUAUACACGUAUGCAAGUAUGCAAGUAUUUUUCAUGUUUAAUACAUGUAUUUUUUUACAAAAUUUUCAGUAAGACACACAAAAGUCACAUAUUAUACACGUAUUACUGAAUAAAAAUAAUAUGUACUUAAAAAAAAAAAAAGGGUAUAGCCAUACGGCUGUACUCAGUUUUCCCUAAUUAUUUUUCAAAAAAUAGUAUAGCCGCGUGGCGAUACUCGUUUUUGCAUAAAAAAGUAUAGCCGGCCGGCUUUACCUCUUUGACACGUGGGCUUAGGCCAUGGGGCGGGUCUUUACACAUAUAUAUAUAUAAUAGUAUAGCAGCCCGGCUAUACUAUUUUUUUGAAUUUGAAAAAAUAGUAUAGCCGUGCGGCGGUACUCGUUUUUCCUUUUUAAAAAAAAGGCUUUACUCUUUUGACACGUGGCACCUAGGGGCUGGGAGUGUCGUCGUUUUAAGAUAUACGUAGUAUAGCCGCACGGCUAUACUCUUUUUUCGUGGAGUAUAGUGGAGCUAGUCGCAUUUCCGAGAAAGAAAAGAUCAAAAGGUGUGCUUUUUCUUUUAAAAAAUGGGGAAAAAGAUGUCUUUGGGAGUGUUAGGACCCAAUUAAAGGAGUGCAAAGAAGAGCUGGAAUUACUGCAAUGUAUUAAUCCUUCGAAACAACAAAGUUAGAGGAAGGAGUUUCUUGAAAGGAAGAUUGAUGAUUUGCUGGAAAAACAAGAAGUUAUGUGGCAGCAGCGGUCAAGGGUGGGGUGGCUGAAAGAAUGGGAUAAAAAUACGAGUUAUUUCCAUGAAAAUGCAAAGGAGAGGACAAAGACUAAUUUCAUAGCAGGGGUGUAUAAUUCAAAGGGGAAAUGGUGAACGGAUAGGAGACUGGUAACCAAAAUUUUUAGUAUUUAUUUUCAGUCUCUCUUUGCAAAAACAGGAGGCAAUAAUAUGGAGGUGAUCACUGACAAGGUUAGUCCAAAAGUGCCUGAUCAAAUGAAGCAUUUUCUUAUUAAGCCUUACAACAAAAAUGAGGUUGAGUUUGCUUUGAAGCAAAUGCCUCCUUCAAAGGCUCCUGGAAUUGAUGGAAUGUUAGCUGUUUUUUUUUUUUUUUUCAGAAAUACUGGCACAUUCUUGGGGACGAAGUUGUUGAGGUAUGUCUAAAAAUUCUUAAUGGUCAGGAAAGUGUGAGAAGCUUGAACAAGACUUUGAUAGCUCUCAUCCCUAAAGUUGAAAAACCGGAAUUUGUGACUCAGUAAAGGCCAAUAUCUCUUUGCAAUGUGAUUUAUAAAAUUAUUUCUAAGGCUAUAACUAACAUAUUAAAGUGUGUGCUCCCAAUGAUUAUAUCUGAAAGUCAGAGUGCUUUUGUUCCAAAGAGGCAAAUUUCAAAUAACAUCAUUCUGGCUUUUGAAACAAUCCAUGCCAUGAAAUGUAGAAGGGGGAAAAAAGCUCCAAGGUUUGCUUUGAAGCUAGACAUGGCAAAAACAUAUGAUAGAGCUGAGUGGAAUUUCAUUUGUAAAAUGAUGGAGAAAUUGGGUUUCCCUGACGAGCUUAUUAAGCUGGUAUUUGAGUGUAUAUCUAUUGUUUCAUAUUCUUUGAUAAGGCAUGGAGCUGUGGAAGAUAAUAUUAUCCCACAAAGGGGGAUUAGACAAGGAGAUCCCUUAUCUCCCUAUAUUUUCCUCAUUUGUGCAAAGGGUUUCUCUACGCUUCUUAAACAGGCAGAGCUUUCUAGUGACAUAAAAGGGAUUGAAGUUGCAAGGGGGGGCCCUUUAAUAUCUCAUUUGUUUUUUGCAGAUGACAGCUUACUCUUUCUUGAAGCAACACCACAGGCCUGUAGAACCCUAAAGAGGGUGUUUGAGAUUUAUGAGAUGGCAACAGGGCAAAAAAUAGAUUUGGCUAAGUCUGCGAUUGCUUUCAGUCCAAACACUCCUGUGCAAUUAAGGAAUGAGGUGAGUAGCAUUUUAGCGAUCCCAAUUGUUGAGUUUCAUGAGAAAUAUUUGGGAUUGCCAACUGUGAUUGGUAGGAAAAAGAAGGAGUGUUUCAACAGAAUAAAAGAAAGAUUGAGAAAGAAGCUUAAUGGAUGGAAAGAGAAAUUACUUUCAAAAGCAGGAAAGGCUCUCCUUAUCAAAGCGGUGGCUCAGAGCAUUCUUGAUUAUGCUAUGGGAGUCUUUAAACUUCCUGUAACAUUCUGCGCAGACUUAAACUCAAUGAUUUCUAAAUUCUGGUGAAAGUGUUGAUGCUCAAAAUGGCCCGGUCAAUAGUGAGUCCAACUUAGUGAUUAGGUAUGCGGGGUCUUCAGCAGGGAAGAGAGCUGAGGCCCUUGGUGAAAUAUAGGUUGAUGGGAAACCUGCAGAAGACAAAGUGGGAGAAACAAUCGUUAAGCUUCGGACACCGGUGUGGUGCCGGCCGAAGGCUCUCCGAUGCCUAAGUCAGUUACAAGUAGUAAUUCUGGCAGAGUAACAGUAAAAGUGGGAGAAUAGUUGUCCUUUUUACCUGGGUACUGUUCCCUAUUUAUAGGGAAGUGAAAGUGGGAACUUUGCACAAAGUUCCAAUGUGGGACUUUGUGCAAGUCGUUGUGGUGGCGACACGUGUCCUGGAGAUUAGGUUUGGCAGUUGGGAGCUUCGGCAGGUGUCUGGCACCUCGAAAGUGUGUCUUCCUUCGGCAGGGGAGAAGGCGUGGCUGUCUUGGUGCUAGUCGCUUUGGUGCUGGGUCUGCUCGGUUCAUUAUGGUGUAAACAGUAGUCCCCCAAGUUCGCGGUCGAGAAGUAACUUCUGGGUUGGGAACUUGUGAGUUUUUGUAAUUGUAACCGAGCAUUCCAGCUUCGUUGGGAGUCGUAGGGCACUCCCUAGUCCCCCAAGUUGGCAAGCUAGGAGUUGCGUCAACACAUUGUAGCUGGGUACCUGGGUACUUGGGCAUGUUGCAGAUAAUAUGGGAGCUGGGUCCGUAGGGGAGCCGGACCUUCGAGGGAGCCGAGUCUUAUGGAAAAUUUGGACUUCCCAAAAUUUGUCCAUGGCCCUUGCCGUUCGGCAAGGGUCUAGCUCCUCUUUUUUUUUUUUUUUUGAAUGGCCGGGAGCUAGGCCAUCGAGGGAGCCGGGUCGUUUUUGAAAAUUUGGCUCUCCAAAAUUUCUCCAUGGCCCUUGCCGUUCGGCAAGGGUCUAGCUAUUUUUUUUUGUUGCUCGGGAGCUAGGCCUUUUUGGAUUGGGUCUUCGGCAAGGGGCUGGGGUUGGGCUCAAAGUGGGCUUCGGCAUGUGAGAAAGGCUAGGGUUUUGAGAUCCCUACAAAAUUUAUAUGAUGCAUUAUGCCGUUCGGCAAGUCUUCAUUCGGCAGCUUUGUAGAUUUUGGGAUUGGGAGGAAACAAAAACUUGGGAGAUUUGAACUUGCCGUUCGGCAGCAAGCUUGGGCGGCGCUUCGGCAGCAGGACUGGGCGGCGCUUCGGUAGCAAGACUGGGCGGCAGCAAGACUGGGUAGGCUUAAUUGGGUUGUGCUGUGCCGAUCGGCAGGGUUGGUCCGAGGAGGUGUUGCUGUGCUUAGAGCACAUCGGUUGUGGCUGGACCCUUGCCGUUCGGCAAGGGUGAUUAGGGAAGAGCUGUUGCGAGCAAGUGUGCGAGAUCCUUGCUGUGGCUUCGGCAUGUGGGCUGGGAUAUGAGCAGGGCUUGGUGUGAGCGAAGUCAGCGGGAAGAGAUGGGCUUCGGCAAUUGAUCUUGCCGUUCGGCAAAAGGUUGCCGAGAUAAAGUUGGAGCUGCCGAGAUCAGAUUGGAGCUGCCACUGGUCUUGCCGUUCGGCAAGAGGCUUGGCAGCGGCUGAGGUGUCCAGCGGCAGGAGGCUUCGGCAGGGCUGUGCGUCGGCUUCGGUAAGGCGGCUAGGAAGGUUUUCGUUGCGGCAGCUGGUUCUGCCAGCUGGGAGAGUUGCUCGGCAAGGUUGUAUGCUUCGGUAUGGCCUCAUUUCCCUCUUAUUUCAUGUUUGCAUAGCCCUUGCCGUUCGGCAAGGGUGCCUUGAGCUGAUUUUUAUUUUGACCGUUGUGUUUGAUCAAAGGUGAUAGGCCCGAGCGAAAUUGGAGCUAGGCCGUUGGCAAGAGCACGGCAGAAAAUAGCUGGGCCAAAAAAAUAGCUGGGCCGAAAAUAGCUGGCCUGAAAAAUAGCUGGGUGUGGAGAGUGGUUUGGCCGAAAAGGAGCUGGGUUUUCGUGCUCGCUUAGCCUCUCGAGCUAGACCGUCCAUAAGGCAAGUGAGUUUCCCGGGACUUGCCGUUCGGCAAGUCCAUCCAUGAUAUAUGUUUUGAAAUGUAUUUGGGUGCCUUGAUCAAAUUUGGGCUUAGCCUUGUAGUAGGAUUGGGCUUAUGAAAUAGGCUAGGACACUUGAAAAUAUGGGGACUCCAUUUUGUUUUUGCACGGGCCUUGUCGUUCGGUAAGGCCCCUAAAUUUCCCUAAAUUUUUUGUUUUUGGUUGUUUAUGUAUUUUGAAAAUUGAAUUUCAAAUGGUGUGUAGGUACAAGGGUUUUAGGAGGGAAGAUGAAAGGGUGCUAGGGUUUGCUCGUGAAUCGAGGCGUGGUACCCUUAGUUGGCUAUAAAAAGGAACUUGGGGUGGUGAAGGCACCACACUUGAGUUGAGAAAAUUUGUGAGAAAUUGAAGAAGAGGAGAGGCGAUUUCCGGCGAUUAGUUUGUGGUGGUGCUUGUGGCUGAGGUGAUUUCCGGCGAUCCAUUCGUGGUGCUACGAACAAGGUUAGACCUUAUUUCGCUAGAACUUUUGAAUUGAAAUGUCUUGUUUUGCAUGAACAUGUUGAAGGCUAGGAAGAACACAUUGAACAUGAGCAUGAACAUGAUGAACACGUUGAACAUAUGUAUGAACAUGUAGAAUUCUUGCCUGGCAUGAAGAUUUGGCAAAUUUUUGUUGUGGUGGUUCGAUCCUCUCCGCAUGUGCAUUAGUUCCUUUUUCUUGUUUGUGCAUAUUGUAGAUGUCUGAAAGUUCUGAUAGAGAAAGUCCUGACCCCCCUGCCUUUGGUGGGGAUGAUACUGAGAGUCAAGAGCCGAGCCAAUAUAUAUGUUCUGAAGAGGAAAGUUCAGAGACAGAGGGUAUGGUAGAAGGAACCAUAGAAAGUAGGAUGAUAGGGCCUGGGGGUGAGAGGGCUGAGCCAUCGGGAGACUCUGGGUCGGCUGCAUAUAGGGAGAUGCAGAGAAAUUAUAUAGAGUUAGAGGCUAUAGCAAAUCGGGUUCUAGCCUUGCCUCAAACGCAAGAAGUGGGUUCGAGCAACCAGGCAUCACUAUCAGGGUCUGUGGGUAUAGCCGUGGCUUCGGUAUUAGAGGGAUUAGACAUCCGGGUUGGUGUCUCGUUGCCGCGGCGGAAUACACUUACAGAAGCGAAAUUGGCCCAGCUACGAACAGAUUUUUGUGUGCCAGCCUAUGUGGGCUUGAGGUUACCCACUGAGGUCGAUGUAGUCAGAUAUCCUUCGGAUGGCUCCGUGAUGAUUUUUACAGAUAUGUAUCGGCACGGCUUCAGACUACCGUUUCAUCCGUGGGUUCAGAUGAUGUUGGCCAAGUUGGGGUAUGCACCGGGGCAGUAUAAUCCCAACUUUUGGAUUCUUCUUCAUGGGGUGUAUAUUGCCUGGUGGUUGGCUGGGUUAGGGGAGCCAACGUUUGAGCAAUUCAUGUACCUGUACUCCAUUUCGAAGCAGCAGGGGACUUUUGGCUGGGUACAGGCCAAUUGCCGAAAGGCGAAGGAGAGGGGUUAUUUUAUUGGACACAAGCUCACAACGCAAAAGCCCUGGAGGAACAGGUGGUGCAUGGCCUACGGGGACUGGGAGAGUCCUCUAGGGAAGAGCAUUGUCCAGCACAUUCCUACCCACUUCCAGUCGAUAGGUCCUUGGCCCCAUCCCUUAAGAUUGUCUAAUGCUUGAUUGUGUUGUCUUGGCUCCUAUUGUUGGGUCUGUAUUUUGUUUGUGCCAGUGUAAAUGGCUAAGUAGUUUCUAACUCUCGGUGCAGGUUCAGUGAAGUGGGGCCCUCUCUCCAAGGAGCAAGAAGACGAGGUUGAGUGGGUGAGGGCGCAGCUAUCAGAGACUGAGCGUGAGUGCGGGAACCUAGUCACGCAGAAGAAUUUGUUUGAGUCCGGACUGCUGCAAGGAAGUAAGUACCUGGGUUAUCUUUUUGUUGUGUGCUGAGCCUUUGUGAGUUUGAGUAAUAGAAUUGCUCUGUUUGUUUUGACAGUGGCUGGCAUCAUAAGGGGGAGCACGAAGGUGGCCGUAGACAUUGAUGAGGGCGAGAUGCAGAAGCGGCUGAGGGAGUCUCGGGCCAGGAAAGUUGAGAAGAGUGCUAGAAAACGACCAAGGGAUGAUGAUGAGGGUCGGGUCGCGGACGUGCUGGGGAAAAGGAAAGCCUUGGAGGAGGCUCAUCAGCAUGUGAUGGGGUCAGGGCCGAGACUUCCGCCCUUUGAUCUGCAGGCACCGCCGAAGCUACCCUUCGGCAUGGAGGACGUGUUCGCUGAAGGGGUAGAGAAGGUAGACUUCGGCAGGCUACGCCAGCAGAAGAAGGAGGUCAACCUGGCUAUGCACCGGCAGGAGGUGCCUUUAGUGAACGUCUUCCUGGAAGGCGUGAAGAGCGACCUUGAGGCUCUGGCGAGGACUCCAGCUUCUUCCUUCAUUGACCGGGCCCAAAAGACGAUCCUCACCUCUGCCUAUGUAAGUGUUUAGGCCCUUUUUGAAUGUAUUUGUGUUGGAUUAUUUUUGUGUGGAUUAACUAACAUGGUUUUUGUUUUGCAGGCCUUUGGCGAGAUGUACGUCAGCAUGGCCAAGGCUGACAAGGAGAUCCAGAGGCUGAAGAGGCGGGAUGAGCUAGCCAAGAGAAAAAUGGCGGAGGCGCAGGAGGCCAUCCGAGAGAAGAACGCCUUGCUGGUUCAAAAGGCGGCCCUGGCCAAGGAGGUGGAGGAGCUGAAGAGAUCGAAGGCCGAGGAGGUGGCUGCUGCCCGAGUCGAGGCGAUUGAGUCCUUCCGAUCCUCAGAGGAGCUGAAGAGCUAUAUCAUGGACCGACUGGCUGAUGAGCAGCUUCGCUGGGAAGAUAGGUUGGUUAGGUUCAACCCCUCGGUGGAGAUUAACUUUGACACCAGUGGCGAGCCUCCUGCACAGACCCUUCCUGCUGAUGCUAGCGCCCCGACACCAGAGGCUGAGUUGGCCAGUGAGGAUGCCCCGUCGACCGAGUCUUGAAGGCGUUGCCUUCGUUAUGUGUUAUAGUGAUUAUGUACUUUAGUGAUUGUGUUGGAACACUGUUUAUUUUGUUUAUGUAUGAACACUUAUCCUUGCCUGGAGCAAGGGUGUUUUGAUUUGUGAUAUGAGACUUGUGUGAUAUCAAUUGUGUUAGUAAAGUAAUAGCCAUGUGAAUGCAUGAAAAUGAGCCGGAGUCAGGCGUUUCAUUUAAAUAGGUGCCGAAAGGCAGAAGGUACAAGUGGUCUAGGGUCUAGAUACCUUACUUCUACCUUACAGUAAAUAAUCAAGACCAAAGUGUUGUCCUAGGGUCUAGAUAUGUUUACUUGUAAUAGUACUUGAGGUGGUCAGCAUUCCACGGGUGAGGCAGCGUCUUGCCUGUGGAAUCACGAAGCUGAUAAGUGCCGGGGCGGCAGAUUUUGAUAAUCUCAUAAGGACCUUCCCAUGUAGGGCCGAGGGUACCUUCGUUGGGAUUUUUGGUAGCCAAGGAAACUUUGCGCAUGACCCAGUCCCCCAUUUUGAAAGCACGGGGCUUGACUCGGGAGUCGUAAUAUUUGGCGAUCCGUUGUUUGUACGCGACAUUACGCAUGCUCGAUUGGUCCCGGAGCUCGUCAAUGAAGUCGAGGUUGAGGGCCAACUGCUCGUCAUUGGCCGUGGCAUCGUAAGUGGAGGUUCGGUAUGUGGGCUGGCUAAUCUCUACCGGAGCCACGGCCUCGGUUCCAAAUGAUAGGGAGAACGGCGUUUCACCCGUGGAUGUGCGGAAGGUGGUGCGGUAGGACCAGAGUACUUCUGGGAGUAGUUCUGGCCAGCAGCCCUUGGCUUUGUCAAGUUUUGUUUUGAGGGUCUUCUUGAUAAUUUUGUUCACGGCUUCGACCUGGCCAUUGGACUGAGGAUGGGCUGGGGAGGCGAAACACAGACGAAUCUUGAGGUUGGAACAAAAUUGUUUGAAUUUGGCGUUGUCAAAUUGCCGGCCAUUGUCGGUGACGAUGGAGUUGGGGAUGCCGAAGCGACAUACAAUGUUUUGCCACACAAAGGAUUCGAUGCGAGCUGCAGUGAUGGUGGCCAAGGCCUCGGCCUCAGCCCACUUGGUGAAGUAGUCUACGGCCACAACUGCAUACUUGACUUGGCCCUUGCCCUCUGGCAUAGGUCCAAUGAGAUCCAGUCCCCAUUGGGCAAAUGGCCAAGGGCUGACGAUGGCAGUCAACGGUUCAGCCGGGAGUUGUGGAAUGUUGGCAAAUCGCUGACACUUGUCGCAUUUCUGGGUGAAUUCCUGGGCGUCAGUGUGGAGCGAUGGCCAGAAGUAUCCUUGGCGGAUUGCCUUAUGGGCCAGCGAGCGUGCGCCCGAGUGGUUACCGCAUAUGCCUUCAUGGAUUUCUCAGAGGACAUAGUGACCCUCCUCUAGAGUCAGGCAUCGGAGGUAAGGAAGGCUGAAACCCCGCUUGUAUAAGGAGCCGUUAAUGAUCAGGUAACGGGCAGAGCGAUGGCGAACGCGUCGUGCUUAUGCCAGAUUAGCCGGUAGUGUUUGGUUCUGUAAGAACUGGAGGAUGGGGUCCAUCCACGUAGGGCUGUGAUCAAUAGUGCAGAUGAGUGGGGCUUGUGUGCUGGGCUGGGCCAAAAACUCGAUGUGGAUGUGGCGACCCAUUCCUUGCUCCAAGGAUGAUGCCAACCUGGCUAGUGCAUCGGCAUGGCUAUUCUCGGAGCGCGGCACUUGCUUGAUAGAGUGGGCGUGGAAGGUCGCCAGUAAGUGCCGAGCGUGCUGGAGGUAGGCCGUCAUAGAGGCAUCCUUAGCCGUGAAGUCCUGGUUGACCUGGUGGACCACGAGUUGUGAAUCGCUGAAUAUCUGAAUUUGCCUGGCGUCCAUCUCUUUGGCUAAUCGAAGACCAGCUAAGAGUGCUUCAUAUUCGGCCUCAUUGUUGGAGGCUUGGAAUUUGAAGCGAAGGGCGUACUCGAGGGCAACCUUGUCUGGGGAGAUGAGAACGAGGCCGGCCCCACAGACCUGGGCAUUAGAAGAGCCGUCUACGAAUAAGGUCCACAGAGGCUGGGUUAGGUCGAGAUUGCCUUCGGUGGGGGUUUGGUCCUGGCUGGGCGGGGGAUUGGGUUCGGUUAUGGGCUGGAUAGCUGACGAAGCUUGAGGCUCCGUGAAUUCGGAUAAGAAGUCAGCGACGGCCUGUCCCCUUAGAGCCGGGCGGGGUUUGUAAUGGAUAUCAAACUCGCCAAGUUCAAUGGCCCACUUAACCAGCCUCCCAGAAGUUUCUGGCUUCUGCAACACCUGUCGGAGCGGUUGGUUGGUUAAGACAUGGAUGGUGUGAGCUUGGAAAUAUGGUCGGAGGCGUCUUGCCGAGACGACCAGGGCGAACGCCAAUUUUUCGAUGUCCNNNNNNNNNNNNNNNNNNNNNNNNNNNNNNNNNNNNNNNNNNNNNNNNNNNNNNNNNNNNNNNNNNNNNNNNNNNNNNNNNNNNNNNNNNNNNNNNNNNNGCUAACAGCCGAAGCUGAGAUGGAGAGAUAAAUCACGAGGAUGUCUCCGUGCUCAGGGGUUGACAAUAAAGGGGCCCGGCCCAUAUACUCCUUGAGCUCGCUGAAAGCCGUGUCGCAUUCAGCAGUCCAGGUGAUGUUUCUUUUGGUGCCUUUAAGGGCCUUGAAGAAUGGGGCGCAGCGGUCAGUGGCUUUGGAGAUAAAUCUGGUCAGGGCUGCGACACGCCCUGUAAGGCUUUGGAUAUCUUUGACCGUCUUAGGUACCGUCAUGUCUAAGAUGGCCUGGAUCUUUUCUGGAUUGGCCUCAAUACCCCUCUGGCUGAUCAUGAAGCCCAGGAAUUUGCCGGAAGCCACCCCGAAUGCACAUUUGGUGGGGUUAAGCCUCAUUUUGUACUGCUUCAGGAUGGUGAACAUGGCAGAGAGGUUAGGGAUGUGUUGGUCAGCUGUGCGACUUUUGACUAGCAUGUCAUCGACAUAGACCUCCAUGGUAUUGCCAAUCAGUGGGGCAAAGAGCUGAUUCACCAGACGCUGAUAAGUAGCCCUGGCGUUUUUGAGGCCAAAGGGCAUCACCUUAUAGCAGUAGAGGCCGCGGUCCGUAAUGAAAGAGGUGUGGGCCUGAUCUUCGGGGUGCAUGAAGAUCUGGUUGUAACUUGAAUAAGCAUCCAUGAAGCUAAGGAGGGCGUGGCCGGCUGUGGCGUCGACUAGCUGGUCAAUGCGGGGUAGCGGGAAGCUGUCUUUUGGGCAAGCCCGAUUAAGGUUGGUGUAAUCGACACACAUGCGCCAGCCCUUUCUUGGCUUGCGGACCAUCACGACAUUAGCCAGCCAUGUAGGAUAGUCAACCUCCCUGAUGAAUCCGAUGCUACUCAAUCGAUCCACCUCCGCCCUCGUGGCCUCAUAGCGCUCGGGAUCAUAAGCGCGACGCUUCUGUCGGACUGGUCUGACGGCAGGAUUGACGCUAAGCCUAUGGGAUAUGAUGUCUGGUGAUAUGCCAGACAUGUCAUUGUAGGACCAUGCGAAGACUUCGGAGUUGAGGCGGAGGAAGGCGACCAGGUCAGAGAGAAGCUCUGGCGAGAUGGAGGUGCCGAUCCGGACUUGUCGAUCCGGGAUAUCGUCAUGGAGGGUAACCAGCUCCAGGUCCUCCAUAGGUUCGGCCUGUGGUGCGAUGGACUCCUCCCUUGGGUCUUCAGGUGGUUCUGUGCCAGCUUGAGGAGGGGCGGGAGCCUUGGUUACUACUAGGGCUUCACUCCUAUGUUGGCGAUUGGUGGAUUUGACGGCUGAAGCAUAGCAGCUUCGGGCUCCGAGUUGGUCGCCGCGCACCGUGCUUGGGCCAUUAGGAGUGGGAAACUUCAACAGCAGCAUAUGCGUGGAAAUAAAAGCCCUCAUUUGGGCCAAGGCUGGGCGGCCGAGGAUGACGUUGUAGGCUGUGGGGCAAUCGACGAUAAGGAAGGGGGUAGUGAUCGUCGUCCGCUGGGGUGCGGCCCCAAUUGAGAUAGGGAGAUGAAUGCUGCCGAUGGGCUGGACCACAUCACCCGAGAAGCUCACAAGGGGUGUGAUGCUUCGGUCGAGUAGGUGAGGCGGGACCUGGAGUUCAUUGAAGGCCUCGGCAAACAUCACACUAACCGAGCUGCCAGUGUCCACCAGGAUACGCCCAACGUCGAAGUUAGAAAUGUCAGCCCGGAUAAUGAGUGGAUCGUCAUGGGGGAGGAUAACACCACGCUCCUCCUCCUCGUAGAAGGUAAUGGGGGCCCAGCCAGUCUGUGGGUCUUUGGCAAGCGUCCCUGCUCGGUGCUGAAGACCUGGUGCGCAUAGGUGGAGCGGACAUAAUGUUUGAUGGAGUUGUUGGAGGUGCCAGCCAGGGUAGGACCUCCGCUGAUGGUGGAGAUCAUGUUGAUUUGUCGUUGGUGAGGGUUAGGCGGGGCUGGUAUGUUGCGCACAUAGUUGUCCAGCUUACCCUCCCGGAUGAGCCCUUCAUUUAUGUUGCGCAACGCAACACAAGACUCGGUGUCAUGGCCGCUGAAUUGAUGAAAGCGGCAGAAGACCCCCGUGUUUGGCAUAGGCUUGUGGAUGGUCUCGGGGGGGGUGGGUUUGGGGAUGAUGGGGGCUUCACNNNNNNNNNNNNNNNNNNNNNNNNNNNNNNNNNNNNNNNNNNNNNNNNNNNNNNNNNNNNNNNNNNNNNNNNNNNNNNNNNNNNNNNNNNNNNNNNNNNNCUCGAACCUGGGCCUGGGUGUGAAGGGAAGAGGGGCCCGAUCACCAGGCCUAGGAGGGUUGCCUCCGCUAGAGUGGUGGUGGUUGCCAUGUCUGCCACGUUUGUUAUUACUGAAGGGAUGCUGGUAGCUAUCCUUCCGCUUAUGUUGUUGGUUGUCCUGGGCACUCGGGGCAGGGGUAGAAUGCUGAGGUGGGGCUGGGGCGGGUGCUGAAGCAGGUGGAGGGUCGGCGAAAGUGUUGCGCGCCAGAUUGGCUGGGCCACGCUUGGAAUUGAGGUAUUCAGGCUUAGCAUGGAUCGCCGCCUGCUUCAUCAGCUCUGCAUAUGUGUUCCAACUGUUGCUAUGAACCAGGUAGCGGAAGUUGGACUCGCGAAGGCCGCUCUUAAAAGCGCCGAAGGCAGCGCGAUCGUCAGUGUCUGGGCAGCGGGAGUACUCAUGACUAAACCGAGCUGCAUAUUCCCGAAGGGGUUCGUCCUCAACCUGCCUAAGCAUAUACAAGUCGUCAGCAGAGUAUAGGCGAUCAAUCUGGAUCAUAAAAUGGUCCAGGAACGUCUGCUUGAGACUAUCGAAGGUGGAGCCUGUAGAACCAAUUCAGGGCCGCGCCGCUGAGGGUGGAAGGGAAAAGGAGGCACAUGCCUUCAUCGGUGAGGCCUUUGCACCCAAAGGCAGACUGGAAGGAGUGGAUGUGGGUGAGAGGGUCCUCCGUGCCAGUGUAGAAAGCGAUGCGGAGUGGCUGGAUAUCUUUCUCCUGGUGGUAAUGGAGGAUGCGUUCGGUAAAGGGCCCUGGUCGUGGUUUUGCCCAAAGGGGUUGAUGGCUGCGAUGUUGUUCGCUUUCCAGGCGCCGGACCUUUUCAAAGAGAAGCCUCAUGGCCGGGUCGGCAUGAGGAAGAGUUUCAGGUGCCAAAGGCUUGGGGGCGGGGCAGACAGGGACUGGGGAUUGUUCCCAAUUUUCCAGCGCCUCGGUGUGGUAAUUUGGCCAGGUCUCUGAAUUAUAAAAUUCCCAAGUAUCCGAGUCCUCGACACCUUCCUCGUCGGGUAUGCGGACGGGGGCUGCGAGGGGCCCAGGUGUGUCACCCGUGGGUCUUCGAGGUUGACAGGGAUAGGGAUCGGCCUUGGCUGACGGUCCGAGAGGCGAUCCCUGCAAUCUUGGUAGAUCCUGACUGGUUCAUGGGGCCGGUCCCUCGGUGGGGGAACGCAAAGGGGUCGUGACUGGGUUAUCUCCGGAUGAAGGUGGUCUUUACCCUUGCGGAGCCUAGCUUGGGCCGAGGCACUGUGGCUGGAAUGUACUGGCUGGUUCGGCUGAAUAAGCCCAACGUUCUGGGUGAGGUCUUGCUGGGCAUCCUGGGUGUGAGUCCUUUCCCAAUUCCGCUUUAAAACACGGUAGUCAUGUUCUAGCUCAACAUUCCUGCAAUGAAGGUGCUCGUAUUUUUCCGACAUUUUAGUGACACUGUCGCGGAGGCGCUCCACUUCUGCCUGGAGAGUGGCAUCUUCCGAAGAUUUCCUUCUAGAAGUACCAUCGCGGGGGGUAUGAUGCUGGGUAUCGCGGCUAUCCUCGGUCGGCAUAGCGGAAUAUGGGGUGAAGAAGAGGCGACGGGGCCUGAUGGGUGAAGGAGCCAGCUGGGCUGAUAGAGAAAGAGGGGAUUCAAGUGUCGAAUUUCCACAGACGGCGCCAAACUGUUGAUGCUCAAAAUGGCAUGGCCAAUAGUGAGUCCAACUUAAUGAUUAGGUAUGCGGGGUCUUCAGCAGGGAAGAGAGCUGAGGCCCUUAGUGAAAUAUAGGUUGAUGGGAAACCUGCAGAAGACAAAGUGGGAGAAGCAAUCGUUAAGCUUCGGACACCGGUGUGGUGCCGGCCGAAGGCUCUCCGAUGCCUAAGUCAGUUACAAGUAGUAAUUCUGGCAGAGUAACAGUAAAAGUGGGAGAAUAGUUGUCCUUUUUACCUGGGUACUGUUCCCUAUUUAUAGGGAAGUGAAAGUGGGAACUUUGCACAAAGUUCCAAUGUGGGACUUUGUGCAAGUCGUUGUGGUGGCGACACGUGUCCUGGAGAUUAGGUUUGGCAGCUGGGAGCUUCGGCAGGUGUCUGGCACCUCGGAAAUGUGUCUUCCUUCGGCAGGGGAGAAGGCGUGGCUGUCUUGGUGCUAGUCGCUUUGGUGCUGGGUCUGCUCGGUUCAUUAUGGUGUAAACAGAAAGAACUCAGAGUGUAGCAAAGGUAUUAGUUGGGCAAAGUGGGUGCAUUUGUGUUUUGCAAAGGAUGAAGGUGGAAUAGGGUUUAGAGAUCUGGAGUCUUUCAACAAAGCGCUUGUGGCUAAGCAAUGUUGGAGACUUCUUACCAAUGAACAGACCAUGAUUCAUAAGGUGUUAAAAGCUCAAUAUUUUCUAAAUUGUAAUUUUUUGGCAGCUGGUAAAGGAAGAGCUUCUUCAUAUAUUUGGAGGUCUUUGAUUUGGGUUGUGAGUUGCUCUUGAGUGGGUUAAGGAAGAGGAUUGGAGAUGGACAAGAAACACUAGUCUAUGGUGAUGCUUGGAUUCCUAGACCUAACUUUUUCCGCCCUAUUUCCUUUCAAGUGUUGGAUCAAGAAACUAAAGUAAGUGAUUUUAUUUUUCCCAUUGGGAAUUAGAAUGUUGAUUUACUAAAUUUGUGUUUUCAUGAGGAAGAUGUUGAGUCUAUUACAUCUAUCCCUUUGAGUGUUAAUUAGCACAAAGAUGGAUGGAUUUGGCAUUAUACUACUAAUUGAAUUUAUUAUGUGAAAAGUGGAUAUAGGCUGGAUAUGUCAAAGAAAAAGGAAUGCAGUGGGGCUGUUGGAUCGUCUUCGGAACCAAGAAUACGAAGUGUUUUCUGGAGAAAAGUUUGGUCCAAAGAGGUACCAGAAAAACUCUUAUAUUUUAAUUGGAGAGCUAUUAAAAAUUAUCUUCCUUGUAGAUCUAAUCUGCUGAAAAGGAAAAUAAUUUCUGAUGACUCUUGCCCUAUUUGUAAUGUGAAUUCUGAGAGUGUAAUUCAUGCUUUGUGGAGUUGUCCUAAUGCCCAAAAAGUUUGGAAAAAAGUGAUGUUCAGGGAGGUUUUUACAGGGCUACACUUUUACAACUACGGGGAUUUGUUUGAAAUUGCCACUAUGUAUCUUUCAAAGUAUGAAAUGCUCUUGUUUUUAUAUAUCUGCUGGAAUUUAUGGCAAAACAUAAAUAAAGUUGUUAUUGAAGGUCGUUCUUAUGCACAAAAUGUGAUUUUCAACAGAGCUCAUUACUUGGCUGAUGAAUAUAGAAGUCUUGUGAAAGGGGAACCUAAAUUAAUUGUAGAGAAACAAACCAAAUGGUCUCCUCCUCCGGUUGGUAAAUAUAAACUGAAUGUUGAUUCUGCUUUUAUUCCCAAAACAGGUGUGGGUGGAAUUGGUGCUGUUGUUAGAAAUAGGGGUGUAAGUUGGAUUGGAAAAUCCGAUUCCGGUCCAAAAUUUUCACAAAAAAAUUCGACUCCGAUAAAUCCGAUAUCCGAUAUUUCCGAUAAAUGCCGAAAAUUCCGCAAUUCCAAUACGAAAAUAUUCCUAAGUUCUCCAAACCCAUUCUGAAUCGAUUUUUCCAAUUUUUUCCGGAAAAUUCCGAGUUUCUAAUUUUAAUUGCAUUAUUUUUAGUGUAUAGGUCUUAUAUAUGUUUCAUUUCUCUUAUUUGUUAUCUUUUUGUACCCACCACAUACAAAUAUUCAUAUAUACUAUCAUAGGGGCUCUCUCUCCCAAAAAAAAAUAAACAUAAUAAUUUAUAACUUUAAGAUUAUAUUUGACAAAUGUGCUUGUUUCUUUUUUGUUGGAGUAAAUGUGCUUGUUUGAAUAUAACAAAAAUGCAUAUGUGUGAUUGUUAUAUCCAAACCUACUACAUACGUGGUAAACUAUUCCAUCUAUGUACGUAUUUUAAAAUUUUAAACCAUCUUCAUUCAAACUUUUAAUUAUAAAAUUAUUUUAUACAAAACACCACAUAUAAGAUAAACAUAUUGGAGCUUGACAAUUAUAGUGUUCCAAUUGUCUAGAGCAAGACUAACAUAUUCAAUGCAAGUUUAUCACUCUUUACACACAUAACAUGUAACUAUUUUGAUUAAGAAUGAACAAAUAGUAUAGAUUGAUGUAUAUACAUACAGAGAGCUUUAGGAUUCGAGAAUGCGUUUGAUAGGUUAAUUGGACAACAAUUUUAUAAAACAAAAACAAUGAAAAUGUGAUAGUACAAUUUGAGAAUAAGGGAAAUAGAAAUGCUGCAUCAUGUAUCAAUAUAUAUGAACUACUUUUUUUUCAUCCAAAUUUAUAUUAACUACUUUUUAAAGACAUUUGUGUUCAUGUCUCAUCUAGAAAAAAGGAAUGUAAUUUAAAAAAAAAAAAGAAUAAAAAAUUUAUCCUGUAAAUAAAAUAUAGUUUAAAAAUAUAAUAAUAUUCUAAAUCUUUAAAAAACACCUAAAAUUAUCUUAAACGAAAAACCCAUAGGGUCAGAAACAAAAACAAAAAAAACCCAUCUGGCACAACCCCACCUCUGCCAUUAUCUUUAACUCUCUCUCUCUCUCUCCCAAACGCACCCAUGUGCACCUCCACUCUCUUUUUUCCCCAGUUCUAUUUCUCCCCCUUCGCCUCUUCUUUUUUCUCCAGGAAAGCCUCUUAAUUGGUAUCAAAAUUCUUCACUGUGGAUGGUUAAUUGGGAACAAUUUUUUGUACUAUAAUUUUACAAUUUGGAAGAAAUUGAAACAUCAAUUGAAU
rnacentral:lncRNA from 1 species